GAAAGGUACGUUAUCUGACAGAAAUAGCAUGAGACAGUUUUUAAUGCUUUUAAUUUAAUGAUUUCAUGGCACUAAAAUUGCAGCUUCACUCAAACAUAUUUAAUUUAUUCCAUAAUUCCACACAAUUAUUGCUAUUGCUUUUGAUUAGGUAAUGAAAACUGCAAAAUUACUUGCAUUAUUAAACAUUACAAUUACAAACUAGUUAAACUGUUUAUUGAUGUCAAAUCAUACCUAUUUAGAGAUUUGGGUUCAAAAUAUAUUUCAAUUAGUUAUUUUACUCCAUAUUUUCUGUGCAAUUUAUACUCAACACAGACUUUUCCAAUUGUCCUUCAGGGGUCAAGCAUCCUGUUCUGGUUCAUUUUGAUGAAGACAAUGGCAGCAAGGCCAUUGAGAGUCUAAAGAAGAAUAUCUCCAAGCAGGAGUCGCUCCUCAGGGCACAUAACCUCAACGACAAGAGUUACACAUUCCUGAUUUCCUCUGACUAUGAAUAUGUCUAACAGAGGGAGAACUUGUGGAAGCAGCAGCAGAAGUAUUUCAAAAGCUUUUCUCUGAUGUUUGUGGAGCUACAGAUGUUGAUCAACAUGUCUGUCAAACUUCAGACUGCUCACAACAUUCUAAUGACUGUCAACAAAGAAGAUGGUGAAUCUCCUGAGUAUUACAGGUUUCUGAAUAUUGUAGUCCACUCCACCACCAGACUAAAGCAGAGCUUAUGUCUGUACUGAACCCUGGAGAUAGAUUUCUAUUGGUGUUUUGUCAAUUAUAUAUACUUAAAAAUUUGAGAAAGGUAAUAUUUCAAAUAAACAACAAAUAUAUUGCCUAUUGAAGAUGCAACAUGCAUGCAUAUACAUUACUUAAUAUAAGAAAUAAAAUAUAUUGUGAUCUUUCUACUCCUUAGCUCAGCUGGGUCCAAGUUUUUGUCUCAUGACCCGGAAGAAUUAGGCACAUGGACACUGGAGUGAGUGGAGUAGAAUUUUUUAAGCAAAAGGAAAGCUCUCAGCAGAGAGAGUGGUCCUGAAAGCAGGUUGCCAGUUACCCCCUUCACGGUUGAAUACAGGGAAUUUUUUUUAUAAGCUGAUGAGGCUGGGUUCGUUGUUUGUAACAAGGUGCAAAUUCCUGGCAGCUCCACCCCAUCCUUCCAGUGCACAUGCGGGCUCUUAGUCUGAGCCUGUCCAUAUUUAUUUAUUUCCCUUACUGCUCAUGUGCUAAGGAAUGAAAUUUUCCACUGUAGGCCUGUUUAGGCAAGCCUCUUGUGCAAGUUCCCUUAGCUGCAUAAAGCAUCUGGUAUAGGCUAGGCAUGGUGGCUCACAUCUGUAAUCCCAGAACUUUGGGAGGAGGAGGCCAGUGGAUCAUGAGGUCAGGAGAUCGAGACCAUACUGGCUAACAUGGUGAAACCCUGUCUCUAUUAAAAAUACAAAAAAUUAGCCAGGCAUGGUGGCACGUGCCUGUAGUUCCACGUACUUGGGAAGCUGAGGCCAGAGAAUUGCUUGAACCCGGGAGAGGGAGACUACAGUGAGCCUAGAUCACACCACAGAACUCCAGCCUGGGCGACAGGGUGAGACUCCAUCCCCCAAAAAAAAAAAAAAAUAUCUGGUGUAAGACUUGUGGGGUGCAUCAGAGGUUCUCCAGGGACCCUUCUUUUACUUUCUGCAUAAAACAAGUUAUUUAACUCUCCACAAUACUUUAUCAAUAAAAUUGUCUUCUGUACAUGCCUCUCAAUUCCAUUACUUUCUUCCUCCACCUUAGCUCCAAAAGAAAUUGCUAAUCUUAGUUUAAAAAUAAUUUCCUUUUUAAAUUUUUUUCAUCCACGAUAUAUAUUCAUAACACAUAUCCAUAAUAUUUUAUUAUUUGUUUUAAACUUAAAUAGUAUUAUAACAUAGACAUUUGUCUAGGGAUUUUGUUUUCACUUGGUAUUAUGUUGCUGAGAUUCAUUCAUAUUGCCAUAUGACAUUACACAUCUUCCAAUUAUCUCUGAAAUUUCUCUCUUCCUUCCUUAAACCUACUUAAGCCAUGUUUAUCACCAAAUACUCUUUAGCUAAAUCUCUUGUACAAUGUACAAUACAUAUAACUACUUAUAUGUACACUAAUAUAUGCAUUUCCAAGAACACGGGAAAGCUAUACUCAUUUUACAAAUUCUGUAAAUAAAAAUAAUACUAGCAA